GGGCUUGCUUCGGCAGCACAUAUACUAAAACUGGAAAGAUACAGAGAAGAUUAGCACGGCCCCUGUGUAGGGAUGGCACGUAAAUUCAUGAAGCAUUAGAUAUUUUU
rnacentral:snRNA from 1 species